UCUUACAUGGGACCCUUCAUUUUCCAUUAUUUUCUUAUGGAACGAUUGCUAAGCUAGCUGCCAAAGAGAAUUUAUUUCUCCUUAUAUAGCAUCUAUAUGGCCAGAAGAGAGGGCAAGAGAAAUAAGAUUUAAGUUACAAAAUACUUUUAUAUUUGAGAAGGAGAGCAAGCAAGGGUGGUGGUCUAGAAGUAUCAAGAGUGAGGAAUUUCUUGCAAGGAGAAGAGAUUAUAUGACAGAGGAAGAUGAAGCUGUGAAAUGCGAGGAUUUGCGAGUGGGGAAUCUGAAUGGGAGAUUUCAAAUGCAUUUGGAAAGUUCUUAUGUUGUUAGAACUGCAUAUGUUUAAUUUUCUUAAUUGGACUGGAGAUCAAAAUUAUUUGGUUUAAACUCAAUUUGAAAUGUAGAUUUCAAUGAAAGGUAUCAGACGAUAUUAGUUUUGAAA